rnacentral:rRNA from 1 species
GUGCCAGCCGCCGCGGUAAUACGUAGGGUGCGAGCGUUGUCCGGAUUUAUUGGGCGUAAAGAGCUCGUAGGCGGUUUGUCGCGUCGGCCGUGAAAUCUCCACGCUUAACGUGGAGCGUGCGGUCGAUACGGGCAGACUUGAGUUCGGUAGGGGAGACUGGAAUUCCUGGUGUAGCGGUGAAAUGCGCAGAUAUUAGGAGGAACACCGGUGGCGAAGGCGACGCUCUGGGCCGAAACUGACGCUGAGGAGCGAAAGCAUGGGUAGCAAACAGGAUUAGAAACCCUCGUAGUCU